CCCUUAGAUGUUCUGGGCCGCACGCGCGCUACACUGACGGAUUCAACGAGCUUACAACCUUGGCCGAAAGGUCUGGGUAAUCUCCAAAAUCCGUCGUGAUGGGGAUAGAUUAUUGCAAUUAUUAAUCUUCAACGAGGAAUGCCUAGUAAGCGCAAGUCAUCAGCUUGCGUUGGUUACGUCCCUGCCCUUUGUACACACCGCCCGUCGCUCCUACCGAUUGAAUGGUCCGGUGAAGCGUUUGGACUAUGGUUUUCUGAUGGUCCGCCGUUGGAUUACCGUGGGAAGUUCGUUAAACCUUAUCAUUUAGAGGAAGGAGAAGUCGUAACA
rnacentral:rRNA from 1 species